rnacentral:rRNA from 1 species
UACGUAUGGUGCAAGCGUUAUCCGGAUUUACUGGGUGUAAAGGGAGCGCAGGCGGUACGGCAAGUCUGAUGUGAAAGCCCGGGGCUCAACCCCGGUACUGCAUUGGAAACUGUCGGACUAGAGUGUCGGAGGGGUAAGUGGAAUUCCUAGCGUAGCGGUGAAAUGCGUAGAUAUUAGGAGGAACACCAGUGGCGAAGGCGGCUUACUGGACGAUUACUGACGCUGAGGCUCGAAAGCGUGGGGAGCAAACAGG